GGGGACCCGGCCUGAGGAGCAGGGGAGGGAGCUUCGAGACUAGGGCAGCGCGAAAACAUCUGGUGUGUUCCAGCUUCCCUGAACAUGGUGAGCAACAGCUGCCUCCCCAUAGCACCUCUGGGAUCCUCUGACAAGCCAGAUCCAUGCCUGGCCCAAGACAAACUGCCUUGGCUUCCCUGCAGGUACCCGCCCUGGGAGGGACAUGGCUGCUGGGCAGUACAAGAUGUGGACUCUCCUCCUUCAGGGCUCUGAUUACAAGAUUGACCUAGAGACAAGAUAUAAUAAGGAUGAGGAACUUCUCCUGAACAGAUAGAUGUCUGCUCAAAGUCUCCUUCUUCCAAAAACAGAGCGCUGGUUCUUAGAGGCUGAGGAUGGUGGUACACUCACAAACCUCAAGAUCCACCUGGUUGAAUAUGACUGCAGGGAUCUUCAAACAUCUUAUACACCAAAACCCAAAGAAGAGAAGCCUGCCCACUGCAAUUUGCUGGAAGUACUUGUAUAAAUGGCUCAGUAUGGCUUUUAUUCUUUGAUGCUUAUAAGGGUUUUUCUGGCAUUCACGGAGUUACAUGCCCAUUCAUCUGUCAAAACUGAAAGAGAAAUCUUUCUCAAGAAAGUGUUCAAAGGCACAUGUCUAAAAAAAUGCAACAUAAUAAGACAAGUGAAAAAUGCUAGGUCCUAAAUAUUCUAAGCAUUCUGGGAAGCAUGGGUACAUUUUAAAACUGAUUGCUGUUCUAAUUCUCUGUGUAUCAUAUUCAUAGCUUUUAAAAAAAUUACUGAUUUCUUUGAUGAAGAGUUUAGCAAAUGCAGAAAUUGAAUCUUAAUUUCAGAAUGCUUUGAUUGCUUCUAAUUGCUUGUUGUUUUUUCACAUGUCUGAGUUUAAUAUCACAGAAAGCUUUUGAAUCAUUAGCUCUGGAAAAAUAACCCUGUCACUUAAUCACACAAUAAGUGAAUUACAGGCAUCCAGGCCAGCCAAGGAACCUGACCUGGAAGUUCCUUUCUAAGACUCAACUGGGAGAUUCAUCUGUCUUCAGCCAUGCAAAUCAUUUCUCAUCUUAGUGGAAAAUUUCAGGAUGGCCUCACAGCUAUAAAUUUCCAAGCUCAUCUGGAAAUUCAUUGCCCCAUCCACAACUGAACAUUCUAGGCAAUGGAAGAAGCUUUGAGUUAUAUUCACUCUCUGAAACAAGGGACUCUUGAAGGUCUUGAGAUGGGAAGGAAAGAGGCAGGACACAAAUGCUACAUAAUGAAGAAGGGGCGCAGCGGUUGGGAUGUGAUGAAGACCAGCUGGAACCAGCUGCAAACAAUGUGGCUGUGAGAAUAGCCCAGGCAUUGACCUUUAGCUCAUUAUACCUUCCUUGUAACACUAAAAAUCACUCCCCCUUACACCUGACAGUUCCCAGGAAGACCAAAAAGGCCAGAAAGUUCCCAGUGGCCCAAUUCCUGGGAAAUCCCCAAAAUAGCAAGAAUAUUCCUCCCACUCAUUAGCCUAUGAAAUUAGCCCAUAAAAACCUAUGGCCCCAUUCCUGGGGCCACUCUCACUUCCUGAGACGUCCACAUUCUGCCUAUAGAAUGUGCAUGUCUAAAUAAAUUUGUUUUCCCUUUACUCUGGCUGGCUCUUGAAUUCUUUCCUGCCAAAAACCCUCACUUGGCAAUCGGUCCUAAGACUCCUGCAGGUCCCAUGACGUGACAUUUCCCUCUCCUGCAACAGUCUUAUCUUGCCAGCCUCCCCUUCUCCCUCUCCCCGCCUGCCUCGCCACCCCCCGCCCCUGCAGCACUAACAGUAUGAUGCAGAGGGAGCCUUAAAAUGACCUGUACCGCAGGUUGUGGUUAGCCCUUAGCUUAAGAACACAAACUUUGGAAUUAGACCUGACUUCAGGACUUCCCACUUUUAGUUGUAUGCCCUAGGGAAAGUUAUUUACUCUCUCUGAGUCUCCAUUUCUUCAUCUAAAGAAUGGAGGAAAUAAUCUCAACCUCAAAUGGCAUAAGAAUCAAACAAGAUGAUAUAUAUAAAGCACAUACCCUAGUUCUCGGCACGUGAUAAGCGCGCAUGAAAUGGUAGCUAUUAACGUUAUUGCCAUUGUUGUUUCUAUUUUUUUUUUUUUUUGAGAUUGAAGUAUAGUUGAUUUACAAUGUUGUGUUAGUUUCUGGUAUACAGCAAAGUGAGUCAGUUAUACAUAUAUGUAUAUUCUUUUUCAGAUUCUUUUCCAUUCGAGUUUAUUACAGGAUAUUGAGUAUAGUUCCCUGUGCUAUACAGUAGGUCCUUGUUGUUUACCUAUUUUAUCAGUAUAUAUAGUAGUUUGUAUCUGCUAAUCCCAAACUCCUAAUUUAUCUCCCCCAUCCCUUUUUCCCUUUGGUAACCGUAAGUUUGUUUUCUAGGUCUGUGGGUCUGUUUCUGUUUCGUAGAUAAGUUCAUUUGUAUUAUAUUUUAGAUUCCACAUAUAAGUGAUAUCGUAUGCUAUUUGUCUUUCUCUGUUUGACUUACUUCACUUAGUAUGAUAAUCUCUAUUUCUAUUUCUAUUUCUAAGUUCUGUCUGCCAGUCGUUCUACACACCCAACCAUCGGUGGAAAUCUUUGAAUCUUAUCAGUGGACGGGAGUUUUAAAAUUUUGUUACUCAACCCACUUAAUUUACAGCUAAACAAGAGUGAAGGUUUUGGAGAAGGGAGGAAGGGGAGAGAGACCUGGUGCUAUUUUUCCCCUGUGACAGAAGGGAGUUUACCAAGAAACAGAAGAUGGAUGCCACACUGUUGGGUGUUCCUUGUCUCGAGAGGAUGCUGGCUACAUAGCCCUGGAAAGCAUCGAAUCCCCAUGGUGAUGGCAGCGUUUUCUCCCAGGGACGCUGGAAACACCGUCUGGAAGAACCACCCGACCCAGGGCUGUGGCCAUUGAAAGGACCCUCGUUCCCAGUCUAACAGGAAAACACAACUGGUCCUAGUGUCCUAGCUACGAUGUCUCGUAUUUGCUGCAGGGCUUCCACCCUCCAGAGUUGUCCUUAUGAGAUGACUGAUCUGACGUCCACAGCACCACUCCUGUAUCUGAUAUAGGGCAGCCGAUGCUUAACUCUACAACCAGUUGUCGACACCGGGACUCAGGACUGCCAGAUCAUCUCAUAUGAUGAGAGAAACUAGAAACCCAGAAUUUUACAUAAACGUCUUUCAACUUGUAAAUAUUGGCAAGUGUCUGUGCCUCCAGAUCCACUUGCCACCCUUCUUUUUUUUAAAUUUUAUUUAUUUAUUUAUUUAUUUUUGGCUGUGUUGGGUCUUCGUUGCUGUGCGCGGGCUUUCUCUAGUUGCGGCAAGUGGGGGCUACUCUUCGUUGCGGUGCGCGGGCUUCUCACUGCUGUGGCCUCUCUUGUUGCGGAGCACGGGCUCUAAGCGUGCGGGCUCAGCAGUUGUGGCAUGCAGGCUCAGUAGUUGUGGCUCAUGGGCUCUAGAGCACAGGCUCAGUAGUUGUGGCACACGGGUUUAGUUGCUCUGUGGCAUGUGGGAUCUUCCCGGACCAGGGCUCGAACCCAUGUCCCCUGCAUUGGCAGGUGGAUUCUUAACCACUGCACCACCAGGGAGGCCGUCACCACCCUUCUUGACUCUGCUUUGUGCAGGGAGGCUGGCCUUUAGGGUCAAUAUCAAAGGGCUGCUUUGCCUUCCAACUUCCUGUUUUUGUUUUGUUUUGUUUUUUGUUUUGCUUUGUUUUGUUUUUAAUUUUUAUUGGAAUAUAGUUGAUUUACAAUGCUGUAUUAGUUUCAGGUGUACAGCAAAGUGAAUCAGUUACACAUAUACAUAUAUCCACUCUUUUUUUUUUAGAUUCUUUUCCCAUAUAAGCUCAGCUGCCUGUUGAACUCAGCCAGUGAGAGUCAACAGCCAGUGGGUGAUGGGGGGAGGGGAGACACUGAUGAAGGAGUGUUGCUUCUCCAUCUCCCGCUCUGCAAGUUAUUGGGUUGGCUCGGGCUGGCCCUGGCUACUAUCCUCUGCCAAAGGCUCCUGUCCACAAGCCCUUCCAGGGAUGGGAAUGUGAUGGUUCCAUGCAGUUACAAGCCCCAGAGUGUCUUGCCAUUCUCUGUUGUUUCCCUUAACUCUGUCCAUAUUCCUAUAAAAAGUUUAAGAAUGCUAUGUCAUUCCUGUCAAA